AUCCUCGAUCUGUUGCGGGCAGAUGUAAUGGAUGUGGCUGUCAAAGCCGCCAGCGGUCAGUAUUUUGCCCUCACCUGCAAUCACUUCGGUCCCGGGACCGGCGAUGAUGUCGACGCCUGGCUGGGUGUCGGGGUUGCCCGCCUUGCCGAUGGCGUGGAUGCGGCCAUCUUUCAGGCCGACGUCGGCCUUGUAGAUGCCGGUCCAGUCCACAAUCAGCGCAUUGGUGAUCACCGUGUCCACGGCCCCUGCGGCGCGGGUGGUCUGCGCCUGCCCCAUACCGUCGCGGAU
rnacentral:sRNA from 1 species